rnacentral:rRNA from 1 species
ACUUUAAUUGAAGAGUUUGAUCAUGGCUCAGAUUGAACGCUGGCGGCAGGCCUAACACAUGCAAGUCGAGCGGUAACAUUUCAAAAGCUUGCUUUUGAAGAUGACGAGCGGCGGACGGGUGAGUAAUGCCUG